UACGUAGGGGGCAAGCGUUAUCCGGAUUUACUGGGUGUAAAGGGAGCGUAGACGGCAAUGCAAGUCUGGAGUGAAAGCCCAAGGCCCAACCAUGGGACUGCUCUGGAAACUGUGUAGCUUGAGUGCAGGAGGGGUAAGCGGAAUUCCUAGUGUAGCGGUGAAAUGCGUAGAUAUUAGGAGGAACACCGGUGGCGAAGGCGGCUUACUGGACUGCAACUGACGUUGAGGCUCGAAGGCGUGGGGAGCAAACA
rnacentral:rRNA from 1 species